CUACGGGCGGCACCAGUGGGGAAUAUUGGACAAUGGGGGAAACCCUGAUCCAGCAAUGCCGCGUGUGUGAAGAAGGCCUGCGGGUUGUAAAGCACUUUCGGUUGGGAGGACUGCUUCUAGCACUAAUAUUGUUGGAAGUUGACGUUACCUUCAGAAGAAGCACCGGCUAACUCCGUGCCAGCAGCCGCGGUAAUACGUGAGGGUGCAAGCGUUAAUCGGAAUUACUGGGCGUAAAGCGCGCGUAGGCGGCUAGAUCAGUCGGGUGUGAAAGCCCCGGGCUUAACCUGGGAACUGCAUCCGAUAAGGUAUAGCUUGAGUACAGGAGAGGAGAGUGGAAUUCCACAUGUAGCGGUGAAAUGCGUAGAUAUGUGGAGGAACACCAAUGGCGAAGGCAGCUCUCUGGCCUGAUACUGACGCUGAGGUGCGAAAGCGUGGGGAGCAAACAGGAUUAGAUACCCUCGUAGUC
rnacentral:rRNA from 1 species